UACAGAGGUCUCAAGCGUUGUUCGGAUUCAUUGGGCGUAAAGGGUGCGUAGGCGGCGCGGUAAGUCGGGUGUGAAAUCUCGGAGCUUAACUCCGAAACUGCAUUCGAUACUGCCGUGCUUGAGGACUGGAGAGGGAUGCAGAAUCCCAGGUGUAGCGGUGAAAUGCGUAGAUAUCUGGAGGAAUACCGGUGGCGAAGGCGGCAUCCUGGACCGACAUUGACGCUGAGGAGCGAAAGCUAGGGGAGCAAACGGG
rnacentral:rRNA from 1 species